GCUUCGGUGGUGCAGUGGUAGCACGCGCCCCCUGUAUGAGCAAAACGUGGGUUCAACUUCUGUCUGGAAUCA